GACGAACGCUGGCGGCGUGCUUAACACAUGCAAGUCGAACGAAGCUUGAUUACGGAUUCUUCGGAUGAAGUAUGAUAUGACUGAGUGGCGGACGGGUGAGUAACGCGUGAGUAACCUGCCCUUCAGAGGGGGAUAGCGUUUGGAAACGAACGGUAAUACCGCAUAAUGUAUUUUGACCGCAUGAUCGAAAUACCAAAGAUUUAUCGCUGAAGGAUGGACUCGCGUCUGAUUAGGUAGUUGGGGGGGUAACGGCCUACCAAGCCGACGAUCAGUAGCCGGACUGAGAGGUUGCUCGGCCACAUUGGGACUGAGACACGGCCCAGACUCCUACGGGAGGCAGCAGUGGGGAAUAUUGCACAAUGGGCGCAAGCCUGAUGCAGCAACGCCGCGUGAAGGAAGACGGUUUUCGGAUUGUAAACUUCUGUUCUUAGUGAAGAAUAAUGACGGUAGCUAAGGAGCAAGCCACGGCUAACUACGUG
rnacentral:rRNA from 1 species